UCAGCAGUCAAGAAUAUUAGUCAAUGCUCGCAAGAGUGAACUAGCUAACUGAGAUCAUGGGUGUGUCAUCUAUGAUAAGAUAGGGGAAAACAAUGAUAUUACCUUAUUAUUAGUGUCGUCCAAAUACUGGUGCCAGAAGACUCGGUAAGGCCAGAGACGCAAACGUUAGUGGUCUUGAAAAGGCGUAAAGGGUUUGUAGGCAGCUUUUAAUACACUUAUUUUUAUAAUUUAUAGUAACAGUAAUUUUUAUACUUUAAAUUAAAUUUUUAGUAUUAUAAAACUACUAUUACAUAAAAAUAAACUAAAUUAAAGCUAGAAUCGUAAAGAGGUCAUAGUCCAUUUAAUAUUCCGAGUAGGAAUGAAAUCUUUAGAUACGGAAUAGAAUACUAACGGCGAAGGCAUUUGGCCAAUAAUGAUUGACGCUCAGAAACUAAGGGGAGGAUAGGAAAUAGGAUUAGAUACCCUAGUACCCCUCUCUGUCAACGAUGAAUGGUAGUUACUAGAAUUGCAUUAAUCUAGAGACGAUGUUAACGCGAAAACCAUUCCGCCUUGUGAGUACGACUGCAAAGUUGAAAACAAAAAAAUUAGUCGGUUUUGGAGCAAACGAAUUGAAGCAUGUUAUUUAAUUCAUAAUCC
rnacentral:rRNA from 1 species